GCCUUUCCCGCGCAAGAUUCGCCUGACACCCCACACCCGGUCAGGUUGCUCCUGGGAGGUGGGCGCGGUGAGAUCAGGUGUUGGAGAGGAGAGAGGGGCUGCCCCUGGCGAGGUGGAGGAUAAGCUCCCAUCUCUCUGGAGGCCUGACGUGGCCGACCCUCGUUCCCAGGUGACAUUUUAGGUUAUUGGGUCACAGAUUGCUGGCACACUCAUCCCUGUUCUCAAAUAUCUUUUAAACUUGGGUGAAGUGAUAAGUAGGGGAAGAUGAUUUACUGAAAGCAAUGCAGAGUCUCCCGAGAACAGAUUCAGACUGAACAGAUUUGUGUCAGACUUUGGGAGACCGCUGGUGCCCAAGAUGUUCUCUGGCAGGUCAAUGACGAAUCUAGGUCCAUCUUUCACAGCUACGUCAAUGAAGUGGGACACUUCGACAAGGCCAAAGCUGGUAUCCCAACCAUAGCCCUUGACAGUGAUGUUCGGCUCCAGGAAGCCAUCAGAUGCAGCAGGUGGCCAGAGGAGGAGCCGAACUUGCUCAUGAAAUGUGACAUCCCCAACUUCAUCAACACGGACCAGAACUCUUCCUUUGGGGAAGAUGAUCUGAUUUUCGAACCACCGAAUGUUCUAGAAAAUAAGCCAGUUGCCCAGACCCCACACAAAGACUUGAAUUGAGAAACGUGCAUUGUCAGGUGUAUUUUUGAAGAUAUGAAUUUUGUCUUUGUAUGGCAGGAAGUCCCUUUUCACAAAAUUGUAUGUGUUUUUGUCUGAGAGAGAGAAAUGGAGACAGACAGAAAGACGAAGAAGCAGAAGAGAGCCCCCUCAGAAGAGAGCUAGUUAAGAAUCCUUGAGAGGUCCCUGUCAUCAUUGUCAAUAUCAUCAUCAUCAUUACCAUCAUCAUGGAACUGAUUCCUCUGGGAGAUUCUAGGAAAAUAAAGAGCUGGACGGGGUUCUGUGCAGCAUCCCAGACUGACGAAGACAGUGGAGAAUGCCUCUGAGUUUGGCACUGAUUGCCUGGAGAAUGCUGAAACCCAGGGAAGUGGGCAGCACAGACGUUUACUCAUUUAAUCCUGCCAACACAGUAGGAGAUAGAGUCCACAUAUUCCUCGCUACUUAAAAGAUCCCUGCCUUCUCUCUGCUCUUCCUGUCCAUGUCUCUCCCCCCACUUUUCCCCUUCUCCCCUCCUCCUCCCAUCUUCUCCGUCCCUCGCUUCCCCACCUUCUCUCGCAGAACCCAGAGAGGAUCGCUGGCCCUCCUGCGCAUGCGCAGUCGGUGCCAGCUGGAACGAGGGUUGGAAGCUCCAGCUCAGAGCAUGGGAUCGGCCCCAAAUUCUGCUCAGCUCUUUCGCCUGAUGAGCUGGCAGAUGUAUUGGCCUGGGCAAAGCUGAGGACACAGAUGCCAGCACCGUGCCACUCCCAGGCUGGCUCCAUUCCCGUCACCUGUCACCUCCUGCUGAGUCCCCAGGCGUCAGUCAAUGUCGGUACAUCGGUGCAACGUAAGCAGGGACCAACAUCUCCCCCUGGACAAAAUGGUGCCCUCACCUCCAGUAGCAUCCAUCCAGACACCAGCACUGACACUGGCCGUGCUCAGAACUGCCUCAGACCUGAAGACACAACUGACAAAUAGAAGGGGGCGACGCCCUGUUACAGCAGGUGCUCUCACUUUGUGGGUCCUUAUGUAACUGCACCAUGUUAAUCAGGAUCGCCCGUUCUACAUUGUGUAGCGCUGCUGCGGUGUCUCCUAGUUACUUGUUUCUUGUAAGAAUUCCGGUGACUGAGUUAGAAGCAUGCUUCCAAGCUGUCCGUGUCCUCGGCAUCCAGAAGCGGAGCCUGGAAGCUUCCGAAUUUCUCCAGAAUGCAGUCUACAUUCACCUUCGGCAGGGCCUGCAACAUGAGCAUCCCUGACUACGAGCAGUGUGCUGAGGACCACCAGACUUUCCCCGUGGUGGUCGAACAGGUGGGGAUCAUCUCAGAGGAGAAUUUCUUUUGCAUCUAUAAGUGAAUCACCUUGGUGAGUCAGAUCAGUCCGUGCGGCUCCCAGUGGGCAAACUGUAUCCACUACAGGCACCACUAUGCGCCCAAGAAUGGGUGGAGCGACUUCCAGACCCACCGCAAGGUCUUGGGCCUUGUCAUCAUUACUGACUGCCUCUCGGCCAAGGCUUCGAAAAGCUCCACGUGCAGAGGAGCUGUAUGGCACCACGCUCUAUGACUCUCAGCUCUUUGACUUUCUGCUGCAUGGGGAGGUGGCCGAGCAGCCGCGCACCAAAGUGGCCUUCAAUUUACGAGGACUGCAGGGUAGUGGAGAAGAGGAUCAAGGACUUCACUGAGUCACUCUUCAUCUUGCCCAAGUCCAAGAGGCUGGACUGUGCAUCCGACAAUUCUGGGGACAAGAUCCUCCUUCUCUGCAUCCCAUUUGAGAAGGAGGACAUCAUGGGACUGGACACAGAAAGCAGUACGUUUUGGUUACUGAGUCCCUCGAAUUCCCAUAUGAAUAGUAGCAGCAGCUAGUCAGUUACUGCAGAGGAGCCCGCUGGGAUUGUGAUCGAGACCACGUUGAGUAUACAGAUCGCUCUGGGGAGCACUGCCAUCCCAAGAGCGCUGUCAUCUGAUCCAGGAAUGUGCGUGGUGUGUCUGUCCAGGGGAAAAGAGUACAAUUCAAAAAUAUAAAGAUUGUGAGCUAAUGAGAUAGACAAGACAACCGAACAUUUGUUAAAUAUCCUUUCAUGCCGGAAACAAAUGUAUUAUACACACAAAAAGCACACAAAUCACGGUAGUACUGCGGUUACAAACGUGGGUCCGAGUUCGAGUCCUGCUCUGGAGUGACCAGUCCUGUGAGAUGGAGAACUGAGUUCUAUGUAUAGUUGGUUACAUUCUAUACCUGGAAAUUUCUCCAAAACUGCUUCCCACGUGCCCUCACCUCCAGUGGCAUCCAUCCAGACACCAGCACUGACACUGGCCGUGCUCACAACUGCCUUAGCCCUGAAGACACAACUGACAAAUAGAAGGGGGCUACGCCCUAAGACAGCAGGUGCUCUUACUUUGUGGGUCCUUAUGUAACUGCGCGGUGUUAUUCAGGAUCGCCCGUUCUACACUUUGUGACGCUGCUGCCGUGUCUCCUAGUUAUUUCUGAUCUGAGAAGCAGGAGCAAGGAACUCAGGGAGAGAUCCAGGAAGACAUCUGACUCUGUUAAGAGACGACAGUCACAGCGACACGGGGAGCGAGGACACUUGCAGCAAAGUAAAAUGACUUCACAACUAUUGCAUCAGAGCUGCAGGUGUGAGAGAGCCUAAGCCUGUCUCAGAGUGCAGGGGACAAGAGGAAAGGAAUGGUAAAAUUAACACUGACAAUUGAAAUUUUGUUAAAUAGCCUGCUAAUAUUAAUUGUAUCAAAUGAAUGUAUGCAGGUGUAUUUCUAUGAUCAUUUAUAGGUACACACAACCCCACCAGCCCCUCUUUCUCCCAUCGGGGAUGGGCUUUCUCAAGCACAGUGCCCCUCCUGGUUGAGUGGGCCACGCUGCGGGUCCUCGUCUGGGGCCAGGCUGCUGCAGGACACUGAGUCCCCGAGGCACGGCCUGGGAGACAUGACAGGAACAUCUCUGCUCAUAACUGAGAGCCUCCGUUUCCCCCUGCAGUGUAAGAAUGCCGGUGACUCAGUUAGAAGCAUGCAUCCAACCCGUCCUUCCGUGUCAUCACCAUCUAGAAUCGGUGCCUGAAUCUUCUGAAUUUCUCCAGAAUGUGGUUUAAAAUCACCUUCGACAAUUGAGUGUGUGUCCUCUUACAAGUGGAGGAAUUGCUGCCGUUUCCCUGGAACUUACUCACCACUAGUCCAUCUGAUUUUUCUGUGCUAGGAUUCAGUAUGGCAUGCUAAAAAUUCUGCAGUCAGAUCUUGAAACACUGAUGAAGAGGAUUAUUUAUUUUAUUUCUUUAUAUGAUAGUGUUUUACUUUCAAAAUUCA